UACGGAGGGAGCUAGCGUUGUUCGGAAUUACUGGGCGUAAAGCGCACGUAGGCGGCUUUGUAAGUUAGAGGUGAAAGCCCGGGGCUCAACUCCGGAACUGCCUUUAAGACUGCAUCGCUUGAAUCCAGGAGAGGUGAGUGGAAUUCCGAGUGUAGAGGUGAAAUUCGUAGAUAUUCGGAAGAACACCAGUGGCGAAGGCGGCUCACUGGACUGGUAUUGACGCUGAGGUGCAAAAGCGUGGGGAGCAAACAGG
rnacentral:rRNA from 1 species